GCCACGCGCGCACGUCUCCACCACAGUCACACAGCACAGGCUGUUCAGAUUUCUCAUAUAUUUAAUAUGAGAUGUAUCUAAGAAAGAUGGGGGUUCUGGUAAGGUCUGAAUAUUGGGGUGAAAUACAGAUAGUGGGAUAGUCUCUUCACACCUGGGAGAGAGAGUCCGCCGGUCCCCAGAGCUCUCACGGAGAGGAUGAAGGCGAGCCAGGAGAAUGUGGGUCUGUGGGAGUUGCCAGCUAGAGGAGAGUUCAGGUUCGUUCACUCCUGUCACAUGUUCAUUUCGCUUGUCCCCAUAGCUGUCUCCGAGUGAGGAUAAGAACCGUGAUUCAUGAGUUGCUAAAGACUGUGGAGGAAACUACUCUUAUAUAAACACCACUGAUGUGGAAUAGCUGUAGAAAACCAAUUAUUCAAAGCUGACUUUUAUUGUACUUUCAAACUGAAUCUGUUGUCAUUCCAUAUCUCUGUUCUUUUCCUUUAUUUGAAUUUCUUUUCUUUUCUUUUUUCUUUUCUUCUUCUUUGCUUCUUCCCUUCCCUUCCCUUCCCUUUCCUUUUUCUGUUUUGCCAACACACACAUCUCAGUAGCUUAACACCAUUAGAACUUAGUGACUUGCUCACAUCAAACCUGAAAUGAGUUUUUCUGAUCAGCAGGGAGCUCUUCUCUAAGCAAGGGUGGUGAGGCAGGCUCUUCCAUGCUGGGGCUCCCUCAUCAUCAAUGUGAGGCCUUCUAGGUUAUCGGCUCAUCUCCAUCAAGCAUGCAGAAAUGAAAGGAGCCCAUAGCUUUGCCCGUGGAAGGGCUGUUGGGGACCUCUCUGGAAAUGUCACUACUGCUGCUACUUCUGGUGAGAACAGAUGGCAAAAAGGAAUAUGAGUUCUCUGCUACUCACCUUUGGGUUUUUGCACUGCUUUGAGGAUUUUGAGAUACUGUGAUUCAGCUAGAGCCCCAAGAGAGGCUGGAAGUGCUGGGGGGCAGCUAGGAGCCUCUGCUAGUGGCCAGAGGGACCUGAACGAUCCGCGGGCAAGAGUAGUUUGAGAAAGAGAGAGAACACAAGCAAGCGAGGGACAGAGAGAAGGUCUGGCUAAAACAUCACCUCCUUUGUGAAACCUCCGUCAAUUCAAUUCUCCAAUUCAAAUAGACUAGUUCUGUACUGCUGGAACAGGCCCAUGGUUCCUGCUGUACUUAUGAAAUCCAAAAAGCUCCGACAAUGAAAAGCUCUUAUUCUUUGCCAAGAACCAUCUUUUUCAUAGCUGGUGCUCAAUAAACAUUGUGAGACUUGGGUGUAGACACGUGCGCAAAAUGGCAAGUCAGGAGUGAUUUUCUCAGUGUCACAUCUGG